rnacentral:lncRNA from 1 species
UAUAUAUAUAUAUAUAUAUAUACACACACACACAUAGCACAUGCAUUUAUAUGUUUUUCUCUAUUAAUUAUCAUUAUACCUAGGAAGGUGAAUGUCCACAGGUGAGCGAGAUGCCAGCCCUAAUUCAUGAGCUAUACCUGAGUUACUCUUUGUGUGUCAGAGGUCACAUUCAGAGCACAGAGGACUAUAAACCAGAUUAAAUAAAAUCAGGAAGCAAGCUAAUGAAUGGAAGGACAAUAGAGUCAGGAGAUAGUUUCCUUCAAUAUUGUGCCCAAGAGAAAUGAAUGGCGAUUAGAACAAUGUUAAAAGCUGGGGCUGAGAUACAACUAUUGCCUAGUGUGCAUGCGACCCUGGGUUCGACACCAGCACCGGGGGAGCGGGAGGAAAGGGUAAUGUGAAAAGGAGAGCUUCUGGUGGCUAGGCAUAUAGGGGAGCGGGAGCCAUAAGGGGUUUUGCUUGUUUGUUUGUUUUUGAGGGUUUUUUUAAUGCUGGAGAUGACACCCAGGACCUUAUGCGUUCUAGGCAAGCACUCUACCAUGGAGCUAUAUCCCCAGCCCGGAAGCUAUUAUCUUUAUAGCAGUGAGAUAAGAAUCCUUGUAUCUUGAAGUGGUAUUGACUGAUUUGGGAAAACAAUUAAUAAACAUUUGCUGAACAGCUACUAUGUUCAAAAUAUUGUGCUAAGAACCAUGGAGAUAGAUAGAAACAAGACAUGGUCCUAGUUCCUGCCUGAAGAUCAUAUAUAUGGCCUGGCACAGAGGCACAUGCUUAUAAUCCCAAUGGCUUGGGAGGCUGAGGCAGGAGGAUCAUGAGUUCAAAGGCAGCCUUAGCAAUUUAGUGAGGCCCUAAGCAAC